UCAAACGUGAGAGAUUUUCAGAAAUUCAAGAAAUGCUACAUUUUCCACUUUAUAAAUCAUCAUUUCCAUAUAAUUUGCACGAGCUUUGCAAUCCAUCAUAAUUGAUUUCCGUCUUGUAUCUUCCCGCUUUGCAAAAUUAGUGCUAAAUGCAUAUUCCAGUCAAUAACAAUUUAUUUUUAACAGCAAGAUUAUAGAUCUGGAUUACCUACAUAUUAAUCACACAGUUGAUUCAACGGGGGGAAGAACCGUAAAAUCUCCGUGACGAAUGGGAAAAAAGAGCUGUAGCUAAAUGCGCUCGUAAAAAGUGUUGUUCUCACUGCUUCAAUUUUUUGCAGAACUGAAAGAAGCAUUGGUCAUGCUUGAGCUGUUCGUUUAGAAAAUAGAAUUAAAAAACAGUAUACAGAUACCCAGGAUGAACGCCUUGGUUGAAGCGACGCACAUGUAAAACCAGAUGUAUCGGAUCAGCCGCACUCACUCUGGCGUACAUAGCGCGGGGUGUAGCGGAUUGCUUCUAUUUAGAUAUUCAACUUAAACCCUGGGAUGUGGCGGCAGGAACGCUGAUUUUACGCGAAGCGGGUGGAACUAUUAUAGAUACGAAGGGUGGUGUUUACAAUAUUAUGAAGCCGAAUACUAUCGCAGCGUCAAACGAAACUCUAGCACGAAAAAUAUCUAAAUUAGUCAUCGACACUGAUUUAAAAACGCAAAGGAAAAGACUCCAGAGAACCUCAGACGCAAAGCAAUGACUCAUGCUAAUUGAUUUAAGAGCUGAGUGUAAAACAGCAGGAGGUGUGUCCCAGCAACUUGUAUUUAUCACGUGAUACGAGGAAAUUACCUAUAAAAAUCAGUUUAGAAAAGUUUCCGUUAAAAAGGCCCAUUGACGCAUUUACAGUCGUUAUACGAAGUCAAUCCCAUUGCGUUAACCAGUGUGCCAUCACAAUGUUGUGAAAUGAAAAGCUUCCUUUCGAUCGAUUUCCCCGUCGUUGUUUAUAAAUAAAACAAAAUUAUUGUAAAGCGCAA